rnacentral:rRNA from 1 species
UACAGAGGGGGCAAGCGUUGUUCGGAAUUACUGGGCGUAAAGGGCGCGUAGGCGGCCGCCUAAGUCAGACGUGAAAUCCCUCGGCUCAACCGGGGAACUGCGUCUGAUACUGGGUGGCUUGAAUCCGGGAGAGGGAUGCGGAAUUCCAGGUGUAGCGGUGAAAUGCGUAGAUAUCUGGAGGAACACCGGUGGCGAAGGCGGCAUUCUGGACCAACACUGACGCUGAGGAGCGAAAGCCAGGGGAGCAAACGGG